UACGAAGGGGGCUAGCGUUGCUCGGAUUGACUGGGCGUAAAGGGCGCGUAGGCGGCGGACACAGUCAGGCGUGAAAUUCCCGGGCUCAACCUGGGGGCUGCGCUUGAUACAUGUCUGCUCGAGUUCGGAAGAGGGUCGUGGAAUUCCCAGUGUAGAGGUGAAAUUCGUAGAUAUUGGGAAGAACACCGGUGGCGAAGGCGGCGCACUGGACCACAACUGACGCUGAGGCGCGAAAGCUAGGGGAGCAAACAGG
rnacentral:rRNA from 1 species